rnacentral:rRNA from 1 species
AACGCGAAGAACCUUACCAAGGCUUGACAUAUAGCGAAAAGUGGCAGAGAUGUCAUGUCCGCAAGGGCGCUAUACAGGUGGUGCAUGGUUGUCGUCAGCUCGUGUCGUGAGAUGUUGGGUUAAGUCCCGCAACGAGCGCAACCCUCGUUCUGUGUUACCAGCAUUCAGUUGGGGACUCACAGGAGACUGCCGGGGUUAACUCGGAGGAAGGUGGGGAUGACGUCAAAUCAUCAUGCCCCUUAUGUCUUGGGCUGCACGCAUGCUACAAUGGCCGGUACAAAGUGCUGCGAAAUCGUAAGAUUUAGCGAAUCACAUAAAGCCGGUCUCAGUUCGGAUUGAGGUCUGCAACUCGACCUCAUGAAGUUGGAGUUGCUAGUAAUCGUAGAUCUGCAACGCUACGGUGAAUACGUUCCCGGGUCUUGUACACACCG